GACGAACGCUGGCGGCGUGCUUAACACAUGCAAGUCGAACGGAAAGGCCCUGCUUUUGUGGGGUGCUCGAGUGGCGAACGGGUGAGUAACACGUGAGUAACCUGCCCUUGACUUUGGGAUAACUUCAGGAAACUGGGGCUAAUACCGGAUAGGAGCUCCUGCUGCAUGGUGGGGGUUGGAAAGUUUCGGCGGUUGGGGAUGGACUCGCGGCUUAUCAGCUUGUUGGUGGGGUAGUGGCUUACCAAGGCUUUGACGGGUAGCCGGCCUGAGAGGGUGACCGGCCACAUUGGGACUGAGAUACGGCCCAUACUCCUACGGGAGGCAGCAGUGGGGAAUAUUGCACGAUGGGCGGAAGCCGGAUGCAGCAACGCCGCGUGCGGGAUGACGGCCUUCGGGUUGUAAACCGCGUUCGCCUGUGACGAAGCGUGAGUGACGGUAAUGGGUAAAGAAGCACCGGCUAACUACGUG
rnacentral:rRNA from 1 species